UACGAAGGGGGCUAGCGUUGCUCGGAAUCACUGGGCGUAAAGGGUGCGUAGGCGGGUUUUUAAGUCGGGGGUGAAAUCCUGGAGCUCAACUCCAGAACUGCCUUUGAUACUGAAGAUCUUGAGUUCGGGAGAGGUGAGUGGAACUGCGAGUGUAGAGGUGAAAUUCGUAGAUAUUCGCAAGAACACCAGUGGCGAAGGCGGCUCACUGGCCCGAUACUGACGCUGAGGCACGAAAGCGUGGGGAGCAAACAGG
rnacentral:rRNA from 1 species